GUCUCCACCCCACCGCAAACCCCUCCUCCCUUCCCCUUCCAGAUCGCUGCCGCUGCCUCCUCCCCAUCAGCUCCACCGGCGAGCCCUUCCUCACCACAUCGCCGCCCCCGCGCCCUUUCAUCAGCAUCCAUGGCCUCCCCCGUGCCCUUCCUCACCGCAUCGCCACCCCAACCCCCUCCCUUCCUCUCCUCGAUGCUCCCCUCGCUCCGGGCCUUCAUCCUCUCCGGCCAGAUCAACCGGGCGCGGCCCCUACCCUAGGCAGGGAGGGCGGAUCACUGCUGCGCGGGCGCACGGGAAGGGGCGGCGGCGGAAGCGCAUUCCCAAGAUCUAGCCCGUCAAGCACCGUGUCAAAGUCUCUCCUUCGAGGAGCUCUAUGUGCGGGUGUGCGGAGGCGCUUGUGAGGGCGGUGGUGGCCUUCUUCGACGCCUUCCUCGUCGACGGCUUCCUCUUCUGGUUCCGCCGCCGCCGCCCCGCCCCGGCCCCGACAGCCCCGCCUCCGCCCACUGGGUAAGCCAACCCUACCUCUCCCUCUCCCUCGCGUCCGGCUCCUCUGUUCGUUCGUUCUUUGAUCCCAGGCGGUGAUGUUUUUAUUUUUUGGUGCAUUCGUGUCUGUGCAAGAUCCGCUCGUGCCCAAGGACUGGACAGGGGAGGCGCUCCCGGCCUCGGACGAAGAGAAAGGUGCCCUGGAUUUCUCGGUUUUGCAGAGAGCACAUUGUCGAACCAGCAGUUGGCAGAUGGCGAUGACACAGAUGAGGAGCUUAGGCGAGAGGUCAUUGUUGUGAAGGCCGUCACGGGAAGGCGUGGGGGAUUUGGCACAAGGCCGAUGAUCUAGUCUACGCUCUCUCCUCCAUGGAAAGACCUAUUUUCUCUGAUGAUUGUUUUGAAGUGGCAGACCAUGUGAACAACUUGGGCACCAUCGCGGGCUCGGGCACCAAGGAGUUCAUGGAGGUGCUGCAGGGUUGGGGCCGUGGCUGCGCCAACAGGUCUAUCUGGUGAUACUCGAUUAGGGCCCCAUGUGUUUGAACAACUAGUCAAGUAACAUGGGUCCCCACUGGUGGUACAACGUCAAGUUUGGAAGCAGCUGGAGUGAAUGUGAGAAAAGUUGAACAACUUACACAUUUUCCUGAAAUGAUCUGGCAGCACCGCCGCGUCGACGACGAAGGUGGUGACCGCGGCGGCGAGCGGCGCGAGUUGGUGGCUGCGGGACUGGACGGCACGGCUCAUAUAUGUGCUUCUGACUAAUCCAGCUUCUUUUGGUCUAGCUGGGCAUUACUUUGAGUUCAUAUAUGUGCUUGUCACUCCAUAGGAGCGCAUGAUAGAGUACUAAAUGGACAAGUAUCUGCAAUGUUCAGCGUCAAAGAUGAUGCUUACCAGAUGUUCUACAUAAGCCCCAUCCAUAUCAUCGGCAUGAAGUUAGAAUUUUUCCUUCAUUCGUCAAAAGUUUGUGUACAAGGAACUCGAGGAGAAGAAUCUUUAAGUAAAUAAUUUAUAUAGAUCAGGAUCUUAUGUUUUCCAGGUGGCUGCUGCUGUGACCAAAGAUCAGCCUGGAGAUGUGCAUCAUAGUCUUAGUUGAUGUUGCCACCAUGUUUUUGUGCCUGUGUAUUUGAUUGUAUGUACACAUGUUAUACUAUAGAGCUUGAUGCUCAUCGGCUCAUGUGACAUAUUGUACACCUGUAGAGCUUGUUAUACUGUGAUCGCAUUUGUAUGUGUUGAUGUAACAGAUUGUUGCUUCUUGUUAUUUGAAGUAUUACACAUGUUUUCUUUC